rnacentral:rRNA from 1 species
CCUACGGGUGGCAGCAGUGAGGAAUAUUGGUCAAUGGGCGGAAGCCUGAACCAGCCAAGUCGCGUGAGGGAAUAAGGCCCUACGGGUCGUAAACCUCUUUUGCCGGGGAGCAAGGGCGGGGACGUGUCCCGGCCCGGGGAGUACCAGGAGAAAAAGCAUCGGCGAACGCGGGGCAAGCAGCCCCGGUAAUACGGGGGAUGCGAGGGUUAGCCGGAUUUAUUGGGUUGAAAGGGGGCGUAGGCGGGCUUCUAAGUCAGCGGUAAAAAUUCGGGGCUCAACCCUGUCCGGCCGUUGAAACUGGGGGCCUUGAGUGGGCGAGAAGAAGGCGGAAUGCGUGGUGUAGCGGUGAAAUGCAUAGAUAUCACGCAGAACCCCGAUUGCGAAGGCAGCCUUCCGGCGCCCUACUGACGCUGAGGCACGAAAGUGCGGGGAUCGAACAGGAUUAGAUACCCUGGUAGUC